GCCCGGGUGGGCAAAAUGGCAAAGCCGCCGCACUCAGACUGCGGAGAUUCUGCGGGUUCGACUCCCGCCCCGGGUA
rnacentral:tRNA from 1 species